UUCACAGGACGAGUGAACUUCUCCAUCCAUUGUUGUAAGUGUCAGAACACUGCCUGAAAAGGCUCUCUUGAAAACAUAUGGACAUUCAUAGCUUGGAGUCCACUUGCCCCUGGAAUCGGGUGCGAAAGACAAGACUUUCUUGAGCACAAGGUCCCUCGGAACACACGAGGCUUGACCUUCUUGUUGAAUGCUUUUUCACUCUCUGCUGAUAUGACUGACCAUGACACAUGGCAGUUGAUCUCUUCUUUUCGAUCGAAUUCAGCAUCAGCCAACUUGGGACUUUGAGGGUGCUAUUUUUCUUUUGUUUUUUUCUUUCUUUUUCUUUCUUUUGAUUUGGAUUUCUUUUGAUUUUGCACCCUCUCUU
rnacentral:lncRNA from 1 species